GGUACAUUCAGCUGGGGCAGGUCUAAGCCCCUCCUCCCUGCACCAAGGCUGCAAAAAGUGUCCCAUCAUAGGCACUGGGCUCCACAAAGCCCACUCGUGCACCAGGGAUGGAUCCUGAUCGCACUGCCUGGGAACCCACCAGAUAGUUCAAGCUAAACAACUAUCCCGCAUAUCCAGAGGGCCUAGUCCAGUAACAUGGGGGCUCCACAGAUAUUGGUCCACAGUUCAUGUGUUUUAACUAGUUUGGCUGUCCAUCUCUAUACAUUUUCCCACCAUGAUCUCAAUGUCCCUUGCUCAUAGAAUCUCUCUUCUGUCCCAUCGAUUGGACUCCCAGAGCUCGGCCUGGCCCUCAGCUGUGGAUCUUUGCAUUGCUCCCAUCAGUCACUGGGUGAAGGCUCAUGAGGGUCCUCAGCUAUUGGUCCACAGUUCAUGCGUUUCCACUAGCUUGGUUGAUUAUCUCUGUACUUUUUCCCAUCAUGACCUCGAUGUCCCUUGCUUAUAAAAACUGUCCUUCCUAUUAUCAUUAAGUCUAUCACUUCUUGGAAUAAGGAGAUGCAGGCACUUGUGGAGAAUCAUACCUCACAUAAAUUUCUAUAAUACUAUUACCUUCUGGACAUAAUACUUUAGCAGGAGAAAAACACUCACUUUCCAACAUGGAAGUACUGAGGCAUUUCAAAACCUUCAGAGAAUUCCUAAAGGAAUUUCCUUGAGUCCCAGGAGAAAUUCCUGGAAUGGGAAACCUGACUUCUGGAGAGUUAUGAGGAAAGCUGGUUAGCAAGGAGGCAAUGUAAGUUCCCCAUGACAUGGAGUGCAGAAGGGAGAGGUUCCUUUCCUUCUAGAAGCCCUUCAUUGUCACAUUCUCUCAAUCUGGCUGUUAAACAACCAGGUCGUGCACACUGGAGAGGACACAUUUUGACCUUUUCUGUUUACCUCUUCCCAUCAUGUUGGAAAUGAAUGUGUUAGGUAACAAAGUGCAGAUUUUUUUAAAGCCAGAUGGUCAUAUCUGCUUUUGAGAUUUAUGAAACCAUGGGUCUUUUACUCAAGUAGAAAUGAAGCAGAGGUUAAAAAUGUUAGUGGUCUCUAAUGAUAAAACUGAAAGGAAUACACAGAUAUUUGUGGACGAAAAUGGAGACCAUGGCAUUGACAAGUGAUAAAAUGAAUGACCGUGUAACAUUCCCUUUUUAUGAAAAAUAACACAUCUCAAAUUGUCCUUAAAGGCUCAAGAAGAGAGUAAGUACUGACUCCAGGAACCAGAGGACACUCUAGAGAACUCUGGUCACAGAAACACUUCAACUGUUGCUUCUGACUCUGUUUCCACUUCCACGUCUGUUGCUGUUGCUCCUGCUUCUGCUGUUUCUGCUUCUCGUGCUCCUGCUUCCUCUCCAGAGGCUACAGCCUCUUCUACAGCUGCUUCUGCUGCAUGCCUUUACAGUUGUUGUUACUGCUACUGUAGCACAAGAAGCCUAUCAUCAAGAACAAACUCCCAGCAAGAACCCCUUGUGAAGUAAUGGCCCAGAAGUUCAGGAAGUUACAUGACAACUUGUGAAAAUCCUAUAAUGGUUGGUGAGGCUCAGUUCCCUCCACAAAACGGUCAUAGGCCAUGGAGGCCAGGAAUAAGCCCUCAGAACCUGCCAUGGUCAGAAAGAAAAAGGAUUGCACUCCACAGCCCAGUAAGGUAAUGCUUUUCUGGCCAGAGAGGAAGUUGAAUGCCAUCUUGGGAACAGUGGUAGAAAUAUGCAUCAGGUCCAUGAGAGAGAGCUGACUGAGCAGAAAGUACAUGGUGGUGUGGAGCCUGGGAUCCACAGGAAUGAGGUGGAUCAUUGCUGAGUUGCCAAGCAAGGCCACAGAGAAUAUGGAGAUGAUGAGCAGCAAAAGCAAUAGGUCUGUGUGAUUUUGUGAGAACAAUCCUAAUAAAAUGAAACCACUUGAGCUCUGA